CAAGAGAGACAGGGGCGCCCGAUCAAACGGGCUGAGAAGCACCCUUGGAACCUGAUCCGGAUCAUACCGGCGGAGGGAGUCGCUCGGGCCUUUCC
rnacentral:ncRNA from 2 species